AACGAACGCUGGCGGCAUGCCUAACACAUGCCAGUCGAACGAGACCUUCGGGUCUAGUGGCGCACGGGUGCGUAACGCGUGGGAACCUGCCCUUAGGUUCGGAAUAACUCCCCGAAAGGGGUGCUAAUACCGGAUAAUGUCUUCGGACCAAAGAUUUAUCGCCUUUGGAUGGGCCCGCGUUGGAUUAGCUAGUUGGUAGGGUAAAAGCCUACCAAGGCGACGAUCCAUAGCUGGUCUGAGAGGAUGAUCAGCCACACUGGGACUGAGACACGGCCCAGACUCCUACGGGAGGCAGCAGUGGGGAAUAUUGGACAAUGGGCGAAAGCCUGAUCCAGCAAUGCCGCGUGAGUGAUGAAGGCUUUAGGGUUGUAAAGCUCUUUUACCCGGGAUGAUAAUGAUAGUACCGGGAGAAUAAGCUCCGGCUAACUCCGUG
rnacentral:rRNA from 1 species